rnacentral:rRNA from 1 species
UACGAAGGGGGCUAGCGUUGCUCGGAAUCACUGGGCGUAAAGCGCACGUAGGCGGAUUGUUAAGUCAGGGGUGAAAUCCUGGAGCUCAACUCCAGAACUACCUUUGAUACUGGCGAUCUCGAGUCCGGGAGAGGUGAGUGGAACUGCGAGUGUAGAGGUGAAAUUCGUAGAUAUUCGCAAGAACACCAGUGGCGAAGGCGGCUCACUGGCCCGGUACUGACGCUGAUGCGCGAAAGCGUGGGGAGCAAACGGG